CCUACGGGUGGCAGCAGUGAGGAAUAUUGCUCAAUGGGGGAAACCCUGAAGCAGCAACGCCGCGUGGAGGAUGACGGUUUUCGGAUUGUAAACUCCUUUUGUUAGGGAAGAUACUGACGUUAUCUAACGAAUAAGCACCGGCUAACUCCGUGCCAGCAGCCGCGGUAAUACGGAGGGUGCAAGCGUUACUCGGAAUCACUGGGCGUAAAGAGCGCGUAGGCGGGAUAGCAAGUCAGAUGGGAAAUCCUAGGGCUUAACCAUAGAAUUGCAUUUGAAACUGGCCUUCUUGAGUAUGGGGGGGGGAGGUGGAAUUCUUGGUGUAGGGGUAAAAUGCGUAGAGAUGAAGAGGAAUACUGAUUGCGAAGGC
rnacentral:rRNA from 1 species